GAUGAACGCUAGCUACAGGCUUAACACAUGCAAGUCGCGGGGCAGCAUGGGGGUUGCUUGCAACCCCUGAUGGCGACAGGCGCACGGGUGAGUAAAGCGUAUCCAACCUGCCCUUCACCACGGGAUAACCCGGCGAAAGUAGGACUAAUACCGUAUGUUGUCCAUUGACGGCAUCCGAUUAGGACGCAAGGGUUGGGGGUGAACGGAUGGGGCUGCAUCCGAUUGGCUUGGCGGCGGGCUAACGGCGCAUCGUGGGUUAGAUGGGUAGGGAUUCUGAGAGGAGGGUCCCCGACACUGGAACUGGGACACGGGCCAGACUCCUACGGGAGGCAGCAGUGAGGGAUAUUGGUCAAUGGGCGUAAGCCUGAACCAGCCAAGUAGCGUGCAGGAUGACGGCCCUAUGGGUUGUAAACUUCUUUUAUGCGGGGAUAAAGUGGCCCACGUGUGGGCUUUUGCAGGUACCGCAUGAAUAAGGACCGGCUAAUUCCGUG
rnacentral:rRNA from 1 species